UUAAAUUGAAGAGUUUGAUCAUGGCUCAGAUUGAACGCUGGCGGCAGGCCUAACACAUGCAAGUCGAACGGUAACAGGAAGCAGCUUGCUGCUUUGCUGACGAGUGGCGGACGGGUGAGUAAUGUCUGGGAAACUGCCUGAUGGAGGGGGAUAACUACUGGAAACGGUGGCUAAUACCGCAUAACGUCGCAAGACCAAAGAGGGGGACCUUCGGGCCUCUUGCCAUCAGAUGUGCCCAGAUGGGAUUAGCUUGUUGGUGAGGUAACGGCUCACCAAGGCGACGAUCCCUAGCUGGUCUGAGAGGAUGACCAGCCACACUGGAACUGAGACACGGUCCAGACUCCUACGGGAGGCAGCAGUGGGGAAUAUUGCACAAUGGGCGCAAGCCUGAUGCAGCCAUGCCGCGUGUAUGAAGAAGGCCUUCGGGUUGUAAAGUACUUUCAGCGGGGAGGAAGGUGUUGUGGUUAAUAACCGCAGCAAUUGACGUUACCCG
rnacentral:rRNA from 1 species